CUUUUUGCGGUCUGGGCUUGCUGUUCUCAGUCAAAGUAACCAGGAAGCCCUUAUCCCAAAAAGAAU
rnacentral:pre_miRNA from 1 species